rnacentral:rRNA from 1 species
GGGCCCGCACAAGCGGUGGAGCAUGUGGUUUAAUUCGAUGCAACGCGAAGAACCUUACCUACUCUUGACAUCCUUGGGAGCUUUUGGAGACAGAAGUGUGCCUUCGGGAACCAAGUGACAGGUGCUGCAUGGCUGUCGUCAGCUCGUGUCGUGAGAUGUUGGGUUAAGUCCCGUAACGAGCGCAACCCUUAUUCCUAGUUGCCAGCGAGUAAUGUCGGGGACUCUAGGAAGACUGCCGGUGACAAGCCGGAGGAAGGCGGGGACGACGUCAAGUCAUCAUGGCCCUUACGAGUAGGGCUACACACGUGCUACAAUGGUCGGUACAGAGGGUUGCGAAGCGGUGACGUGGAGCUAAUCUCAGAAAGCCGGUCGUAGUCCGGAUUGCAGUCUGCAACUCGACUGCAUGAAGCUGGAAUCGCUAGUAA